AGGAAUAUUGAGCAAUGGGCGCAAGCCUGACUCAGCAACGCCGGCGUGGAUGAUGACGGCCUUCGGGUUGUAAAAUCCUUUUCUGGGGGAAGAUAAUGACGGUACCCCAGGAAUAAGUUCCGGCUAACUACGUGCCAGCAGCCGCGGUAAAACGUAGGGGACAAGCGUUAUCCGGAUUUACUGGGCGUAAAGCGCAUGUAGGUGGCUUGCCAAGUUGGACGUGAAAGCUCCCGGCUUAACUGGGAGAGGUCGUUCAAAACUGGCAAGCUUGAGGUUGGAAGAGGAGAGCGGAAUUCCCGGUGUAGUGGUGGAAUGCGUAGAUAUCGGGAGGAACACCAGUGGCGAAAGCGGCUCUCUGGUUCAAUACUGACACUGAGAUGCGAAAGCGUGGGGAGCGAACGGGAUUAGAUACCCCGGUAGUCCACGCUGUAAACGAUGGAUACUAGGUGUAGGCGGUCAUUAACCCCGUCUGUGCCGAAGCCAACGCGUUAAGUAUCCCGCCUGGGGACUACGGCCGCAAGGUUA
rnacentral:rRNA from 1 species